rnacentral:sRNA from 1 species
UCAAGAAUUAGGAGAAACAAUUACCUGGAUCUGGAUUAAUUAAUUUAAUAUACUCUCAACUUUUGAAAUAAAGUUUAUGUUUGGUGAUAGUUUAAAGUAUCACUGUACUUAUAACUAGAUAAGGCCCGCCUAUUUAGGCGGGUGUAUCCGAAAUUUUCAAAUAUUCGAAUGGGUCUAAACUUGAAAACCCGAAAAACUCGAACCCGAACCCGAAUAGGUAUCCAAACAUAUCUCAAAUAUAAGUAUAAGUAUAACUAAUAUAUACUUAUACAUAGAAAAUAUUAGGAUUUUUUUGAUAUUUUAGUUAUUUUUGUGUAUUUUUAGAUAUAUUCGAGCAAAACUACUCGUGUUGUUUUGGGAGUUUUUGAAAUUUUCAAGUAAUUUAAUAGAUUUGCACACACAAUUUGAUAUUUCAAUAUAUAAAUAAACUCGAACCCGAACCCAAACCGAACCCGACCCGAAAUCUUAAAUUACCCGAACGGAUCCUAAACUUCUAAACUCGAAAACCCAAACCCGAAAUACCCGACCCGAAUACCCAAACGCCUAGGGCUAAUAAUUAAUAGAAAAACAGAAAUCCACAAAAAUAUUUAGAAACCAAACAUUGUUGAAAAUAUAUUUCUAUAUAUGCCGUAAUCUUGUAAGUUAAUUUUAACAUCAUGCAAAUAUUAAAUGAGUUAAAAUUAAUAAAUGAAAAUAAUUGAAAAGUUAAAUCCUAUAAGCUAAGCUAUUUUUCUCAAAAUGUUCUAUUUUCACUUAUGAUUACAUGAGUUAAAGACAAAUUUGUUAUUUUCCUUUUAUUGAAUAAAUGUUAAUUGUUUAUAAAUAUAUAGACAUAUAAAUUAGUAUAUGUAAAUUUGUUUACUUUUUAAGAUUUUCUAUUCUUUUUAGAAAAUAAAAAAGUUAAAUUUUAAAUGACACAUGUAAACAUCUGAUCGUUUGACUUGACACAUGGCACGAUCCUAUGAGUUAGCAAAUUUGAAAACCAUACUUUAUAUAAUAAGAUAACUCUUAAACAUAUAGUUUUUCU